AUUGAACGCUGGCGGCAUGCCUUACACAUGCAAGUCGAACGGCAGCACGGGGGCAACCCUGGUGGCGAGUGGCGAACGGGUGAGUAAUACAUCGGAACGUGUCCAGUCGUGGGGGAUAACCAGUCGAAAGACUGGCUAAUACCGCAUGCGCCCGAAAGGGGAAAGCGGGGACUUUCGGCCUCGCGCUAUUAGAUGAGCCUAAGUCCGAUUAGCUAGUUGGUAGGGUAAUGGCCACCAAGGCGACGAUCGGUAGCUGGUCUGAGAGGACGACCAGCCACACUGGGACUGAGACACGGCCCAGACUCCUACGGGAGGCAGCAGUGGGGAAUAUUGGACAAUGGGCGCAAGCCUGAUCCAGCGAUGCCGCGUGUGUGAAGAAGGCC
rnacentral:rRNA from 1 species